rnacentral:rRNA from 1 species
CCUACGGGAGGCAGCAGUGAGGAAUAUUGGUCAAUGGGCGGGAGCCUGAACCAGCCAAGUCGCGUGAGGGAUGACGGCCCUAUGGGUUGUAAACCUCUUUUGUCGGGGAGCAAAGUGACGCACGUGUGAGGCUUGGAGAGUACCCGGAGAAAAAGCAUCGGCUAACUCCGUGCCAGCAGCCGCGGUAAUACGGAGGAUGCGAGCGUUAUCCGGAUUUAUUGGGUUUAAAGGGUGCGCAGGCGGAGGCGUAAGUCAGCGGUAAAAUUGCGGGGCUCAACCCCGUCGUGCCGUUGAAACUGGGUGCCUUGAGUGGGCGAGAAGUACGCGGAAUGCGUGGUGUAGCGGUGAAAUGCAUAGAUAUCACGCAGAACUCCGAUUGCGAAGGCAGCAUACCGGCGCGCAACUGACGCUGAAGCACGAAGGCGUGGGUAUCGAACAGGAUUAGAUACCCCUGUAGUC